rnacentral:lncRNA from 1 species
CUCAACUCCUUAAGGCGUAUAUAUAUAAUGUUUCGAUCUGGUCGUCUACGUCAUGCAGGUGAACGCGUUGGCGUAUCCCAUACGUUUUACAGUCAACAGAUUUUCGCAGCAUCGGCAGCUACGUUAUAAACAGGUAUAUCCGAACCGUCGUGGGAUCCCGUCCCAUCUACAAGGUGUUUUCGAAAUAAAGGAUCGUCGGUUCGUCUCCUCACUCCGCGUCGAGCGCGGAAACGUGACCCUGAGAUCGCGACACUUCCGGGGAGUGUACGGUUCGAAAAAUGCUCUUCUCCGUCUCCUACUUUGCGAUCGUCGUCGGAUCUGUGGGUGAAAAUUCUUGGAACCCGGUGAUUUUGGCGUUACGAAAAUUUUGGUCAAAAGUAAAACGUCACUCUCAGCGAUACUUCUAAGCUUCCCGGUGUAUAUUAUUUUUGCGGAGGUAGACUCGGACGCGUGGGUUGUCCCUGCCCUUCUCGACUUGUAUUCUUGCGGGGACCGAUCCGCGACGGCCACGCGAUUGCAGAUCAGUGUUUAAUGCUAUUCCUGUUUGAGAGGACUGUGGCUGCUGCUUAGUGUUCCGCUGAGUGGGACUCGACACCCGGUGCACGCCGGUUUACCGACCACCUCCAAUAACCACUACCACAAUCACUGCUACCAACCUCGAUUACCACCACGACGUAUCACCGUCACCACCUUCGGUACACACGAGAGAAUUCUGGUGGGGGUCGGGGGACAUUCUGCUCCGGAUGUCGACUGUCGAUGAAGGUGAUAAGGUACCGGUACUGUCUACGACCAUGACGAUAUCAACGCCAUUGUUUUAUUUCUAAACAUUUCGCGAAACGAAUAUGACACCGCGAUACACCGCUCCACAGUUCCCAAUGUCAUCGCGAAUUUACUUCUUCUCUUUAAUUGCUCUUCAUUUAUCCGCCCGUCUCGUUUAUCUUACUUCUACAUUGUUCCAUUCGAUUCCUUGUACAAUUCAUGGCGGGAGAUUUUUUUUUGAUUCCAUCUGUCUUCUCAUUAAUAUUUCUCGCGUUGUUUGUUCGUUGCCCGAUGAAAUUGAAAAUUCUACGAACCGGCAGUACCUCGAUCUUGUCACUUUUUGUACGACUGUUUGAUAUUGAGAGUGAUUGACAAUCAUAUGAAAUGCCUAACGAUCCAAUGAACACGAAAACAGCGAUGCACGCCUGACGCCGAAGCAAGGGAUGAUUGGGGAAGAAAAGCGUGAAACACGAGUACGAAAUAUAUAACGAACACGAAGACAACGAUGAGGACAGGAGAUGCGGGCGUGAUUAUUAUUGGAAUCGUAUGAAAUAAUUUUUGACUCCGCAUCCGAACGACCUUCGAUAAACGACGACCCGUUUCCCAAUUAAACGGAAGAGACAACGAUCAGCUGCGUAUACAUAUAUACCGACUACUGGAGUUGAUCCGGCCAAUCGCUCCGGGAUAAUUACGCCAAUUAUUACUUUUUCUUUUUAUCAUUAUUUUUAUUAUAUUGCCGGAAUUCGACGUGAACUGGACGACACCGUUGAGAUAGAGAAAGAAAGGAAAAAACGAGAAUAAAGAAACGAACAGACGACCUCGGGUAACCUUUGGAUUCGUUGAGGCGGUGUAACGUCAAUUAAAAAAUGUCGAAAAAGAAGAGACUCGUAAAAUACUGACAAUUACCGAUCUCGUCGGAUGUAAUCUGGUUGAAAUCAGUCAACGAACGUUGGGAAUAAAUCCCGAGAUAAAGACGCCGCCGCGAAAGUGACUUUAAUAACCGUAAAUGUGUUAUGAUACGAGUCGACGAAACACGUCGUGAAGAAAAAAAGAGGAAAAAGAGGACAAAGAAAAAA